rnacentral:rRNA from 1 species
CUCAGGAUGAACGCUAGCGGCAGGCCUAACACAUGCAAGUCGAGGGGCAGCACGUCUUCGGAUGGUGGCGACCGGCGCACGGGUGCGUAACGCGUAUGCAACCUACCUUACACUGGGGUAUAGCCCGGAGAAAUUCGGAUUAAUCCCCCAUGGUACUUUUGAAUGGCAUCAUUUGGAAGUUAAAGUAUUACGGUGUAAGAUGGGCAUGCGUCCUAUUAGCUAGAUGGUAAGGUAACGGCUUACCAUGGCUACGAUAGGUAGGGGGCCUGAGAGGGUGGUCCCCCACACUGGUACUGAGACACGGACCAGACUCCUACGGGAGGCAGCAGUGAGGAAUAUUGGUCAAUGGGCGCAAGCCUGAACCAGCCAUGCCGCGUGCAGGAAGAAUGCCCUAUGGGUUGUAAACUGCUUUUAUUUAGGAAUAAACCUUACUACGUGUAGUAAGCUGAAGGUACUGAAUGAAUAAGCACCGGCUAACUCCGUG